CAUUAAAACACUGGUUCUUGUAUGAUCACUAAAGUUAAGCAAUGUCAAGCCUUGUCAGUACCUAGAUGGGUGACCGCUUAGGAAUACCUGGUGCUGUAAG